UUUUCUUAGCGAACAAAUCACGAAACAUAUAUGUUACUAUUUCAAGUAUAGUCGCUCAAACAAACUUCAGUAGUAUUGACUGCGCAUUGCGGAAUAGGUAAUUCAGUUCGUACCUUCAAACUGGCAAGAAUGGUCUUUCUUUGGCUAGCAGUGCCUUAUUUUUACAUUGCUGGGAGAUUUUUCUUCAACAGCCCCGAAUUAACGAGUCGUUUUUAGAGAGCCUGGAUCUUAUAAGAUCCAGGCUCUCUAGUCGUUUUCACAUCGUCAAUGGACUCAAGGGGACUAUUUUGUUUAUACUUUCCAAAAUCUACAUAGGUCACAAAUCUCGUGGAGGUCCACCCCGUUGGGAUUAUCCGAUGACGUGUUCAUUGUGUCGUGUGGAUGGUCAUCUUUCCUCAUUUUGUCCAGGCAUUUUUCUGUGGAAAAGGAUUCGUAAUGUUGGCAUUGUUAUGAUAGUGAUUCUUUCAUUUGCUUUUCUGAAUAUCAAAGCAGAGCAUGUACAUGAAGACUCAUUGAAGAGUGAUUGAAAGGAUUACUUUAGACGAAAGAUGCGAAUAAAUAUAAAUAAUAAAUAGUGAAUAAAUAUAUUGAGAGAAACUUUUAAUGUGUGCGAUGAUGACUUAAGCCUCUGGUGGUGGUGGGAUGUAAUAUUUGAACAGAGAAAGACACAUCGACGCUGUCGUGCUAACUUGUCCCACGUCGCUUUUUGACGUUUCGAGAACGCGUUUUAAUGUUUGACCUUGAACAAACAAAAACGAGAACACGCAAUGUCAACGAUAACAAACAAGCUUUGAUUGGUUGAACACUCUGUGCAUUGUCCUGAAGUUUGGUUGAAUUUGGUUGCUGGAGUCCCGAGUUAUAAUUACAAAUGUUUACGGUAGUCGAGCUCGUACUUGUGUCAAACGCGUUCUGACCUGAAACAUCUUUGAACAGUUGUCGCACCAAUUUUCAGGCUGUGUCAAGAUAGCACGAUUGGAUCGAAACUUCUUUCAUAUGAAGAGGAGUGACAACAAUGCAUGUUUUUUUUUCAUUUUUUUUAUUGAAUCAAAAGGUGAGGCAUUGUGAGCUGCACAAAAUUGUGUUCUUAACUCAAUUCGACUCAAAAUGCACGUGCGACAACUUGGCACGACAGCGACGAUAUGUUCAGAAUUGCUCCCAGUGAACGAUACAAUGCAAUGCUAUGUCUGAAAAUACUGUUAACUCUGAGGCUAACUCAUGAGAUAUGAAACGUCCACUUUUGCAAGUUAUGCGCAUGUUUAACGCUUUUUUAAAGAUUCAUAACAAAACUGAUCAUUUUCGAUUCACAUUAUAAUAUUAUUAGUGUUUAUUAAUAUUCUUGCGUCUUACGGUAAAUUUCAGAGUAACUUGAAGUAAUUUUUGCGUGAUUAUUUUUAAAAAAUCACAUCAUAUUGCAUCAGUUUCCUUGAGAGUAAUAUUACGUAUUUCACAAUAGAUUCACUUUUUGGUUGCAUCUGAUAUGGAAACAAUUCUCUGGGAUGUUGGUUAAAGAUAUAUUUUAUUAGUAUUUUUUUUAAAUUUCAUAACACUAUUCGCUUUGUAGGGUUAAAGAAUCCAUUUUGAUUGGUUGAUAAAAUUUUCCAAGCUAUAUUAAAUUAUAUGUUUCCUUUUUCCAAAGCUAUUAUUUUUCUUAGAGAACAACUCACGAAACAUAUAUGUUACUAUUUCAAGUACAAUCGUUUUAAACAAAUUUCAGUAGUAUUGGCAAAGUUUGGCUGUGUACUUUUUUCAACAAGCUCCACAUGGUUUUUUUGCUUCUCAGACUGCGCAUUGCGGAAUAGGUAAUUCAGUUCGUACCUUUAAACUGGCAAGAAUGGACUUUCUUUGGCUAGCAGUUCCUUAUUUUUACUUUGCUGGCAGAUUGUUCUUCACUAGCCCCGAAUUUACGAGCCGUUUUCACAUCGUCAAUGGACUUAAGGGGACUAUUUUGUUUAUACUUUCCAAAAUCUACAUAGGUCACAAAUCUCGUGCAGGUCCACCCCGUUGGGAUUAUCCGAUGACGUGUUCAUUGUGUCGUGUGGAUGGUCAUCUUUCCUCAUUUUGUCCAGGCAUUUUUCUGUGGAAAAGGAUUCGUAAUGUUGGCAUUGUUAUGAUAGUGAUUCUUUCAUUUGCUUUUCUGAAUAUCAAAGCAGAGCAUGUACAUGAAGACUCAUUGAAGAGUGAUUGAAAGGAUUACUUUAGACGAAAGAUGCGAAUAAAUAUAAAUAAUAAAUAGUGAAUAAAUAUAUUGAGAGAAACUUUUAAUGUGUGCGAUGAUGACUUAAGCCUCUGGUGGUGGUGGGAUGUAAUAUUUGAACAGAGAAAGACACAUCGACGCUGUCGUGCUAACUUGUCCCACGUCGCUUUUUGACGUUUCGAGAACGCGUUUUAAUGUUUGACCUUGAACAAACAAAAACGAGAACACGCAAUGUCAACGAUAACAAACAAGCUUUGAUUGGUUGAACACUCUGUGCAUUGUCCUGAAGUUUGGUUGAAUUUGGUUGCUGGAGUCCCGAGUUAUAAUUACAAAUGUUUACGGUAGUCGAGCUCGUACUUGUGUCAAACGCGUUCUGACCUGAAACAUCUUUGAACAGUUGUCGCACCAAUUUUCAGGCUGUGUCAAGAUAGCACGAUUGGAUCGAAACUUCUUUCAUAUGAAGAGGAGUGACAACAAUGCAUGUUUUUUUUUCAUUUUUUUUAUUGAAUCAAAAGGUGAGGCAUUGUGAGCUGCACAAAAUUGUGUUCUUAACUCAAUUCGACUCAAAAUGCACGUGCGACAACUUGGCACGACAGCGACGAUAUGUUCAGAAUUGCUCCCAGUGAACGAUACAAUGCAAUGCUAUGUCUGAAAAUACUGUUAACUCUGAGGCUAACUCAUGAGAUAUGAAACGUCCACUUUUGCAAGUUAUGCGCAUGUUUAACGCUUUUUUAAAGAUUCAUAACAAAACUGAUCAUUUUCGAUUCACAUUAUAAUAUUAUUAGUGUUUAUUAAUAUUCUUGCGUCUUACGGUAAAUUUCAGAGUAACUUGAAGUAAUUUUUGCGUGAUUAUUUUUAAAAAAUCACAUCAUAUUGCAUCAGUUUCCUUGAGAGUAAUAUUACGUAUUUCACAAUAGAUUCACUUUUUGGUUGCAUCUGAUAUGGAAACAAUUCUCUGGGAUGUUGGUUAAAGAUAUAUUUUAUUAGUAUUUUUUUUAAAUUUCAUAACACUAUUCGCUUUGUAGGGUUAAAGAAUCCAUUUUGAUUGGUUGAUAAAAUUUUCCAAGCUAUAUUAAAUUAUAUGUUUCCUUUUUCCAAAGCUAUUAUUUUUCUUAGAGAACAACUCACGAAACAUAUAUGUUACUAUUUCAAGUACAAUCGUUUUAAACAAACUUCAGUAGUAUUGGCAAAGUUUGGCUGUGUGCUUUUUUCAACAAGCUCCACAUGUUUUUUUUGCUUCUCAGACUGCGCAUUGCGGAAUAGGUAAUUCAGUUCGUACCUUUAAACUGGCAAGAAUGGACUUUCUUUGGCUAGCAGUUCCUUAUUUUUACAUUGCUGGGAGAUUUUUCUUCAACAGUCCCGAAUUUACGAGCCGUUUUCACAUCGUCAAUGGACUUAAGGGGACUAUUUUGUUUAUACUUUCCAAAAUCUACAUAGGUCACAAAUCUCGUGCAGGUCCACCCCGUUGGGAUUAUCCGAUGACGUGUGAACGGUCAUCUUUCCUCAUUUUGUCCAGGCAUUCAUUUGUGGAAAAGGAUUCGUAACGUUGCCAUUGUUGUGGCAGUGAUUCUUUCAUUUAUUUAUCUGAAGAGCUAUGCAGAGCAGAAACGAAAAGAGUGAUUGAAAUGAAGAAAAUUAAUAAAUACAUUUUUGACAAAUAAUCAAAUGUUUCUAACUAAUUUCAGUGUGUCCCAAAGAUGUGAAUAAAUAUAUUGAGUGAAAUG